CAAUAGCGUAUAUUAAAGUUGUUGCGGUUAAAAAGCUCGUAGUUGGAUUUCUGCUGAGGACGAUCGGUCCGCCCACUGGGUGAGUAUCUGGCUCGGCCUUGGCAUCUUCUUGGAGAACGUUGCUGCACUUGACUGUGUGGUGCGGUAUCCAGGACUUUUACUUUGAGGAAAUUAGAGUGUUUCAAGCAGGCGCACGCCUUGAAUACAUUAGCAUGGAAUAAUAAGAUAGGACCUUGGUUCUAUUUUGUUGGUUUCUAGAGCUGAGGUAAUGAUUAAUAGGGAUAGUUGGGGGCAUUCGUAUUUAACUGACAGAGGUGAAAUUCUUGGAUUUGUUAAAGACGGACUACUGCGAAAGCAUUUGCCAAGGAUGUUUUCAUUGA
rnacentral:rRNA from 1 species